ensembl:lncRNA
GGACAAUACACGUUUACUGAGACCGAAGAGACAUAUUCAUGCACAAGCUUGCCAGUAAUACUGCCAUCCGUUGCCUCAUUUUGCAUAGGAAGAAAUCGUGUGACAGGGGCUACAAAAAUCUUCAAAUUACUAGAUUAUAAAUGUAUAAAUAUAAAUACAAUUUCUUGGUAUAUGGCUUAGAAGUCAGCUUGUAUUGAUAACUAUUACACCAGCUGGGGGCAUCAAGUUUCCUUUGUAAGUUAUUACUGCAGUGUUGCAGUUUCCUCUGAGAAACAUUCCAUCCUAAAGGGAAGCUUGGAAGACAGGUUAAACUACUCAAAAUAGCUUCAGGAUGUCCCUCAAACUGACAAGAUUGUCUAGGUCCCCUCCUUCCAAGAGUGUAUAUGCUGUAAGUGACUGCUGGGAGUCACUGUCAGACAAACCCAGCUUCCUGGAAGAAGCAGAGACCAGCAGGAUUGCCUAGAGGAGGCAGAGACCAACUGAACCCCAGGAAAGGACAUUGUGAAAACUUUCAAAGAAAGAAGCUCAUCUCUGCCAGUUCUGGAGCUGUGAAGCCCAGUUCCAAGAAGCCAGCGUUCGCCCGGAAUCUGCCCGUGCAUCGUGUCCUGGGGGAGAUGUCACACGACCAGAGCUCAGGGCAGGGCCUGUUAAGAAAACAAAACAAAAAACAAAGCAGCUUGAGAGACAGCUGGCAUCGUGGUCCUACCUAGCCUUUAAAGACUGAACCACUUCUCCAGCCUGCGGCGGGUUUUCAGUCUUUUCUCUGAAGUGCUUCAGAACAGUUGGCGAACCGUUUCUGUUGAGCAUAUCCACACUUGUGUUCCCUAAGUCGGAGAUAAAAACAAACACUGGGUAAGUUCCAAACCUUUGUAGCCAUGUAGCGAAAAGGAGCCCAAGGGUCGGGAGGACACAGGACUCAGAUAGGAGGGGACAGAGUGUAUCAGGAGAGGAGAGCUGGUGCGAGCUGGGUGCGAGCUGCCCAGAGAGGGAUGGAGUGGCAGGAGAGGCUUUGUGGCUGUUGGAGAGAUGCUUCGGAGUGGCGUGUGGCCAUGGAUUCAUGAUUACAUGUUGGGAGGAAAGGAGGGAGGGAAAGAGGGAGAUAGAUAGAUAGAUAGAUAGAUAGACAGACAGACAGACAGACAGAUAGAUAUGUAUCCCAGGCUGGCCUCGCACUCCUGAUCCUCCCUCCCUCUGUCUCCUCUCCUAGUGGUAUUUACGAGCAAACCCACCGCCCCUAUUUCAGGGAUCGCAUCCUCACAAGCCCGAAAGCCCUUUCCUCCGAGGAGCGCCCCCUGCUGUUCGCUCUGGAAACAGGCUACCGGCUCUCCUGCUCACCCACGCGUGGACUCAUCUGCUCUCUCCAUUCCUCUGCCCUGUCGACCCUCGGCAUCCACAGCAGAUCAGCGCAGGGGCAGGCAGCUCACGGAGGCGGCCUCCUCGGGGAUGACUGACGGGUCUCAAAACCCAAUCCUGGGAAUCUGCUGGGGCCACUAACACUAGGAGGCUUGACACUGAGGUCCACGUGCCAGACUCCAGGAGAGGCCGGGUGAGGGUGGGGAAAGCUCUCAAUCUGAAAAUAAAACAGUGUGUGGACCCCGCUGGUUCUCGCCUAGUGGCCCUCCUUCACCAGAACACUUGCCGUCCUUCAGCUGUGGACACCUCUUUCGAGGAACUCCGUGGCUCCUGUGCAUCUCACCCCAGCUUUUCAUUUUUUGGCCAGAAUUAGGUUUAGGAUUUCCAACUAUCUGUGUGCCAUGGACUGUGUGUGUGGAGAUUUCAUGACAGAUUGAAUAGUUUUUAAAAUUUUAAUAGCCAAGGACUUCAAUAGGCACUAUAGCGAAAAAGAGACAGGGGUGGCCAAAAAGUGUUUUAAAGAGGGAAUGCUGAACACACAAGCAUGAAGUUAGUAUAAAUCUAAGAAGACAGCAUCCCUCCUCCCCUCUCACCACCUCUCGGCUCCCACAGCCAGAUUUCCAACCCUAUUGCACAGGUUCUCUUGGCGUUGGAGGCCGAGAUGUCUUGUUGACAUGGAUGUCUUGUUUGAGGCUGAGCUCUCAGCACUCAGUGCUUUGACCAUCUAAGGCUGCUCUGCCUCACCAAGUCUGCAGGCAGAUGCAGUCCUGUGCGGCCUCUCAGGCCUGUCCCAAG